AACGAACGCUGGCGGCAGGCCUAACACAUGCAAGUCGAGCGGCCCUUUCGGGGUCAGCGGCGGACGGGUGAGUAACGCGUGGGAAUAUGCCCUUCUCUACGGAAUACUCCUGGGAAACUGGGGGUAAUACCGUAUACGCCCUUUGGGGGCAAGAUUCAUCGGGGAAGGAUUAGCCCGCGUUGGAUUAGGUAGUUGGUGGGGUAAUGGCCUACCAAGCCGACGAUCCAUAGCUGGGUAGAGAGGAUGAUCAGCCACACUGGGAGUGAGACACGGCCCAGACUCCUACGGGAGGCAGCAGUGGGGAAUCUUAGACAAUGGGGGCAACCCUGAUCGAGCCAUGCCGCGUGAGUGAUGAAGGCCUUAGAGUUGUAAAGCUCGUUCAGCUGGGAAGAUAAUGACGGUACCAGCAGAAGAAGCCCCGGCUAACUCCGUG
rnacentral:rRNA from 1 species